GGUGGUGUGGUGUAAUGGUAGCACGUGACGUUGUGGUAAACCACACUGGAUCCGUUUCAAUCUGGGUUCGAUUCCCAGCACCGCCA
rnacentral:tRNA from 2 species